AUUUUAUACUUAUUAAUUUGCUGUUGCGGCAAGUGUUGAGACAGCUGAGGAAGCCAUAUCGCCUGCUGAAACACGUCUUGUACAUUGUGUCUUGUACUAUGUGAAGAUACAAUAAAAUGUCAUUUACAUAUUGAACCUCCAUUUGUUGCUAAACGCCAGACUUUUAACAAUAAUCAGCUUCAGUAGUCUGCCAAGGGUUAUGCAAAUAUGAGGAGAUACUUGAAGAAAUCCAGACUACUGACCUAUUGCAACAGACUCACCUCUGCCUGAAUCACUGGUGCCAUCAGGGCUGUCUGGCCUGCUUGGCUAGCAGUUACCUAUACUGGGACCACUCUUUGGACAGCAACCUGGUAGCCUCAAGGAGCAGAAGUCCAGCUUUUACAUCCUGGAGAGAAUAGCCUAAUACUAAUAGAUCAAAGUAUAUUUAAGGCUAUUAUGUCAUUUAAUCAGGAUAAUUUCUUUG